GUUCCUCUAUGGGACGCAGCAGUAGGGAAUAUUGCUCAAUGGGGGAAACCCUGAAGCAGCAACGCCGCGUGGAGGAUGAAGGUUUUCGGAUUGUAAACUCCUUUUGUUAGAGAAGAUAAUGACGGUAUCUGACGAAUAAGCACCGGCUAACUCCGUGCCAGCAGCCGCGGUAAUACGGAGGGUGCAAGCGUUACUCGGAAUCACUGGGCGUAAAGAGCGCGUAGGCGGGAUAGCAAGUCAGAUGUGAAAUCCUAUGGCUUAACCAUAGAACUGCAUUUGAAACUGUUAUUCUAGAGUAUGGGAGG
rnacentral:rRNA from 1 species